rnacentral:rRNA from 1 species
UGGGUAACCUGCCUCAAAGAGGGGAAUAGCCUCCCGAAAGGGGAGAUUAAUACCGCAUAAUAUGUUUAGGUCGCAUGACUUUAACAUCAAAGGAUUUUUCUUUUAGAAAUUCCACUUUGAGAUGGACCCGCGGCGCAUUAGCUAGUUGGUGAGGUAACGGCUCACCAAGGCAACGAUGCGUAGCCGACCUGAGAGGGUNAUCGGCCACAUUGGAACUGAGACACGGUCCAGACUCCGUAGGAGG